rnacentral:rRNA from 1 species
CGGGAUCCAUCGGUAGCUUGCUACCGAUGGUGAGAGUGGCGCACGGGUGCGUAACGCGUGAGCAACCUGCCCAUAUCAGGGGGAUAGCCCGGAGAAAUCCGGAUUAACACCGCAUGACACUGCUUUCCGGCAUCGGGAGGCGGUCAAAUAUUCAUAGGAUAUGGAUGGGCUCGCGUGACAUUAGCUAGUUGGUGGGGUAACGGCCCACCAAGGCGACGAUGUCUAGGGGCUCUGGGAGGAGAAUCCCCCACACUGGUACUGAGACACGGACCAGACUCCUACGGGAGGCAGCAGUAAGGAAUAUUGGUCAAUGGGGGCAACCCUGAACCAGCCAUGCCGCGUGCAGGACGACUGCCCUAUGGGUUGUAAACUGCUUUUGUUAGGGAAUAAACCCCGCUACGUGUAGCGGGCUGAAUGUACCUAAAGAAUAAGGAUCGGCUAACUCCGUGCCAGCAGCCGCGGUAAUACGGAGGAUCCGAGCGUUAUCCGGAUUUAUUGGGUUUAAAGGGUGCGUAGGCGGCACUUUAAGUCAGGGGUGAAAGACGGCAGCUCAACUGUCGCAGUGCCCUUGAUACUGAAGUGCUUGAAUGCGGUUGAAGACGGCGGAAUGAGACAAGUAGCGGUGAAAUGCAUAGAUAUGUCUCAGAACACCGAUUGCGAAGGCAGCUGUCUAAGCCGUUAUUGACGCUGAUGCACGAAAGCGUGGGGAUCGAACAGGAUUAGAUACCCUGGUAGUCCACGCCCUAAACGAUGAUGACUCGAUGUUUGCGAUAUACCGUAAGCGUCCAAGCGAAAGCGUUAAGUCAUCCACCUGGGGAGUACGCCCGCAAGGGUGAAACUCAAAGGAAUUGACGGGGGCCCGCACAAGCGGAGGAGCAUGUGGUUAAUUCAAUGAUACGCGAGGAACCUUA